rnacentral:lncRNA from 1 species
GUUGAUCCCAAAAGAGAUUAUCUCCUGUAGUGAUUAGGUCCAUAAAUCCAUUGUAAAGUGCUUAUUUGUUUUGUUCUUAGUUGACUUGAAAAACCAGAAAGCACUUAUUCCAAAACGUGCUUAUUGUCAAAACUGCAGUCUGUCUGCUAAGAAUGUUCUUAGAAUGGCCUUGAAACGGAUUUGCAGGAUUUUUACUUUGCAAGUGGUUUGUUAGAAUCUAUUUAAUCUUAUGCCACUCAAAAGCACUUGUUAGAUAACAAAAUGAUCAGAAUCAUUUAAAAUAUAAUUAAAGAUGUUUGUAAUCUUUAAAACAUCAAAAGUGGAUUUUGCCUCAACAAUCUCCCCCUUUUUGAUG